rnacentral:rRNA from 1 species
GACGAACGCUGGCGGCGUGCCUAAUACAUGCAAGUCGAACGCUGAAGAGAGGAGCUUGCUCUUCUUGGGUGAGUUGCGAACGGGUGAGUAACGCGUAGGUAACCUGCCUGGUAGCGGGGGAUAACUAUUGGAAACGAUAGCUAAUACCGCAUAAAAUUGAUUAUUGCAUGAUAAUUAAUUGAAAGAUGCAACUGCAUCACUACCAGAUGGACCUGCGUUGUAUUAGCUAGUUGGUGAGGUAACGGCUCACCAAGGCGACGAUACAUGGCCGACCUGAGAGGGUGAUCGGCCACACUGGGACUGAGACACGGCCCAGACUCCUACGGGAGGCAGCAGUAGGGAAUCUUCGGCAAUGGGGGGAACCCUGACCGAGCAACGCCGCGUGAGUGAAGAAGGUUUUCGGAUCGUAAAGCUCUGUUGUAAGAGAAGAACGGGUGUGAGAGUGGAAAGUUCACACUGUGACGGUAUCUUACCAGAAAGGGACGGCUAACCACGUG